GUUUCAGGUCCAAGCGCCUUCAGCCAGCAGAUGGUUCAUGUCCUUCGAGGCGGCAAAAUAUGGGGUGGAAGGAGUGGGGGCUCCGUGUUCCAGGGCGCGAUCUCGCUCCGUCCACCCGCCGGCUCUGGGGCUGAGCCUCAGUCCACAUUCCUAUAAGUGUGGCAGGAAUAAAAAAACUCCAGUUUCCAGCUCUCACCUUUGAGGCCCCUGACAGAGGGAAGGAAGGAGCUAUCCAGGAGCUGAUCCUCCUUGCAAAGCUGUCCUUGCAGAGAUGCACGUGUGCAUUUCAGCUACAUUAUGCCACACUGUUGUAAUACUGUAUAAAGACCUCAAUCUAUCCAGAGUAUUUUUAUAUAAUGUUGGAUGAGUUAGGAUUAUUUGUAGUGCUGUUGAAGUUUCUGGGAACACAUAAUAUGUAGCUGGCUUAAAAAAGAGCCUCUCAGGUGCAUGGCUCUUCCUGGUCUCUGAUUCAUUAGGCUAAAGAGAGACGAGAGAAGCCCCCCACCCGAUUCUCAUAACAGCUCCAUCAAGAAUGCAGGAUUUGAAAACCAAGGAUUUGGGAAAUUUGUGCAGAAAUGUUCAUCAAAUCUGAUCAGUCAAGGGACUAAGCCCAUAACCGAGCAUUUGAAAAAUUGCAGGGAGGAUGAAAAUUUGGGAAUCCUGUUAAUGAGGAGAUUGAAUCACAGGUUCCUGGGCCACAGAAUGUGAGCAUUCGUGUCCUCUGCUCACCUUGGUCUCCGCACGCCUUUGCAACAUGAACAGGUCAGAAGUCUCUCCCAUCUACCUUCUCUGUAGCAUCUGGGGUUCCAGGCAUGGUUUAUGCCCCAUUCCAGCAAUAAGAACCAAUCUGUUGUACAAUCUGAGGUCUUGGUUCUGUUAUUCAUAAAAUGAUGCUGUGGUCCUGAGAUUAUUCGGGACAUUUUUGGCUCUCCUUUAGUGGACACCUAGAGCCACAGAUUUUCUUCUUUACUAAACAAAUCCCAUGGAUUAUGAUUUCUGGGUCUUAGGAUUUUAAAAAUGAAGAGAUAUUUUUCAUAUAUUUGUUAAGUUCAGUUCUGAUGGUGCCCGUGGCCAAGAGUUAGAAACAUGGACAGUUCCCAUUCAGUCUUGGCACUUUGAGUUGUCUUGGGGAAAAGCUUACAUUUUAAUUUAAAAGAAAGGUCAAUUAUAUCCAUGCUUAACAGGAUCAGCAGGAGCUUUAUAAAUGGCUUUACAGCGACUAAUAAGGGCUUUGAUCUUUCUUUUUUGUUAUCGAGGCUUUUGAAAUGUGGAACGUGUGUGUUCUGCUAUGUAUAUUAUAUUCAAUAUCUUUUCAGAUGCAGUCUAUAUUUUAUGCUGAGCUUUUUAAAUGAAAUACUUUAUGUGGACAGGCAAAACUGGUACCAAAGGGAAUCCUUCAAAAUGGGGAACAACAUUUGUGUAAGGAGAACAGGUGACAACAUAUACGAAGUGUGUGCUAAUUGUAAAAUGAGAAACUUCAUCCUUAAAGCACAUCAGAAUUGAAUACAAAUAAUCUAUUUGUCAAUGAAAUAAACACAGCUCUUUGAGGAUUUGAGACUACAUUCACCCUUUAUUCACAGUCACUUGCAGUUUUGCUUUUCUCUGCAUUUCUCUGCUGUAAGAUGACUGUUGCAUUGUUAAAUUGUAUUUUGAAUGGAUAUUUUUGUUUGGCAAUUAGCAAUGGGAAAUAAGUGGUCCACCUUCAAUAUUUGCUUGUUGUUCAUUUACAUGCUCUUGGCACCAAUCCUAGACUCACGUGUGCCCCAGAAUAACAUUCAGACUCUCAGUUGGUCUUGUGUUACACAUCCAUGGACCGGUUCACUCCAUCAUAUACAGCUCUCUGCUCCGUGUCCCCUGGGCUCAAGUCAAGCAGUCGGUGACAGAUUUCAUUCCCAAUAACAGAAUCGGUUUGCAUGACUCCCCAUACAUGUUGCAGCUUUGAAAACAUUCAUCUCAGUGUCAGGAAUAAAGACAGUAAAAAUGCAUGUCAAGCCCUCGUUAGCUGAUGAGGUAAAUGCGUGGACAACUUCUUGGCUCUCCCCUCUGUGACCUUGCAGCCUGCUCAGUCCUUUGUGCAGCUGUUCCUUAUCAAAAGCAGCUAAAUCCCCCCAUCUGCCCAUUUAAAAAUUGGUGGGGUGAACAAAGAGCAUGAAAAUGUUGAAGACCAAAACCAAAAUUUACUCAAAUCAA
rnacentral:lncRNA from 1 species